UACGUAGGGGGCGAGCGUUGUCCGGAGUUACUGGGCGUAAAGCGCACGCAGGCGGUCUGCUAAGUUUGGAGUGACAGUUGGUGGCUUAACUGCCAAAGUGCUUCGAAAACUGACAGACUUGAGGGCUUCAGAGGGACACGGAAUUCCGGGUGGAGUGGUGAAAUGCGUAGAGAUCCGGAGGAACACCAAAGGCGAAGGCAGUGUCCUGGGGAGUACCUGACGCUCAGGUGCGAAAGCCAGGGGAGCGAACGGGG
rnacentral:rRNA from 1 species